CGAUAUCCUCUUUGAAACAACGGUUCUCGUCCGAUCACCGAAGUUAAGCAAGGUUGAGCCUGGUCAGUAUUCAGACGGGUGACCGCUGGGGAAUAACAGGUGCU